rnacentral:rRNA from 1 species
AAAACGACUCUCGGCAACGGAUAUCUCGGCUCUCGCAUCGAUGAAGAACGUAGCGAAGUGCGAUACUUGGUGUGAAUUGCAGAAUCCCGUGAACCAUCGAGUCUUUGAACGCAAGUUGCGCCCCAAGCCUUCUGGCCGAGGGCACGUCUGCCUGGG